rnacentral:rRNA from 1 species
UGGUGCAUGGUUGUCGUCAGCUCGUGUCGUGAGAUGUUGGGUUAAGUCCCGCAACGAGCGCAACCCUUGUGUUUAGUUGCAAACAGGUCAAGCUGUGCACUCUAGACAGACUGCCGUGGACAACACGGAGGAAGGUGGGGAUGACGUCAAGUCCUCAUGGCCCUUACGGGCUGGGCUACACACGUGCUACAAUGGUGGUGACAGUGGGCAGCGAGCACGCGAGUGUGAGCUAAUCUCCAAAAGCCAUCUCAGUUCGGAUUGCACUCUGCAACUCGAGUGCAUGAAGUUGGAAUCGCUAGUAAUCGCGGAUCAGCAUGCCGCGGUGAAUACGUUCCCGGGCCUU